rnacentral:sRNA from 1 species
GAAAAGAACCCUUUAAAAGAGUGCCUUCCACAUAGCCAUGACGUGUCUGCUUGGCUCCCUGAUAUAAGCUGCUUUAACCCUGAUGAGCUGAUAAGUGGCCAGGGCAGUGAAGAAGGGGAGGUGCUCCUUUAUUACUGCUACCAUGACCUGGAGGAUCCCCAAUGGAUCUGUGCCUGGCAGACAGCUCUGUGUCAGCACCUGCACCUCACAGGCAAGAUUCGAAUUGCUGCAGAAGGAAUCAAUGGGACAGUUGGUGGAAGCAAAUUGGCUACCAGACUUUAUGUGGAAGUCAUGCUUUCCUUCCCAUUGUUUAAGGAUGACCUGUGUAAAGAUGAUUUUAAGACCAGCAAAGGAGGAGCUCACUGUUUUCCAGAAUUGCGUGUUGGUGUAUUUGAAGAAAUUGUGCCCAUGGGGAUCAGCCCCAAAAAGAUCUCCUACAAGAAGCCUGGUAUGCUUGCUUUUAGAAGAUCGUGCUUUAAUUCACAGGGACAAAACUUAAUAGACAAAUAAGAAAGCUAGGCACUGUGAUCAGCAGCAGUCAUGAGUCCUCUCUAAAGCAGCUGUGGGGUGGCUAACACUUGGCU